rnacentral:rRNA from 1 species
GAGUUUGAUCCUGGCUCAGGACGAACGCUGGCGGCGUGCUUAACACAUGCAAGUCGAACGAGAAUCUGUGGAUCGAGGAUUCGUCCAAGUGAAGCAGAGGACAGUGGCGGACGGGUGAGUAACGCGUGAGGAACCUGCCUUUCAGAGGGGGACAACAGUUGGAAACGACUGCUAAUACCGCAUGAUACAUUUGGGUGGCAUCAUCUGAAUGUCAAAGAUUUAUCGCUGAAAGAUGGCCUCGCGUCUGAUUAGCUAGUUGGUGAGGUAACGGCCCACCAAGGCGACGAUCAGUAGCCGGACUGAGAGGUUGACCGGCCACAUUGGGACUGAGAUACGGCCCAGACUCCUACGGGAGGCAGCAGUGGGGAAUAUUGGGCAAUGGGCGCAAGCCUGACCCAGCAACGCCGCGUGAAGGAAGAAGGCUUUCGGGUUGUAAACUUCUUUUAAGAGGGAAGAGCAGAAGACUGUACCUCUAGAAUAAGCCACGGCUAACUACGUGCCAGCAGCCGCGGUAAUUC